rnacentral:rRNA from 1 species
GACGAACGCUGGCGGCGUGCUUAACACAUGCAAGUCGAACGGAGUGGCGAACGGGUGAGUAACACGUGGGUGACCUGCCCUGCACUUCGGGAUAAGCCUGGGAAACUGGGUCGAAUACCGGACAGUGUGGGAUGGGUGCGCGGCCUAUCAGCUUGUUGGUGGGGUAAUGGCCUGCUAAGGCGGCGACGGGUAGCCGGCCUGAGAGGGUGGACGGCCACAUUGGGACUGAGGCACGGGCCAGAGGCCUACGGGGGGAAUCGGUGGGGAAUUUUGCGCGAUGGGCGGAAGGCUGGUGGAGGGACGUCGCGUCGGAGAUGACGGCCUUCGGGUUGGAAACUCCUUUCACCUUGAACGCGGUAGAUGGAGAAGAAGCACCGGCUAACUACGUGCCAGCAGCCGCGGUAAUAC